UACGUAGGGGGCAAGCGUUGUCCGGAUUUAUUGGGCGUAAAGAGCGUGUAGGCGGCCAUACAGGUCCGUUGUGAAAACUGGAGGCUUAACCUCCAGACGUCGAUGGAAACCGUAUGGCUAGAGUCCGGAAGAGGAGAGUGGAAUUCCUGGUGUAGCGGUGAAAUGCGCAGAUAUCAGGAGGAACACCGGUGGCGAAGGCGGAUCUCUGGGCCUUACCUGACGCUGAGGCGCGAAAGCUAGGGGAGCGAACAGG
rnacentral:rRNA from 1 species